UGAGAUCUGGGAAGCUGUUAGGCUUCAUUGUCAGUGAGAAAGGGAUUGAGGUUGAUCCAGCAAAAGUCAAAGCUAUUCAAGAGAUGCCUGAACCGAAAACGGAAAAGCAAGUCCGUGGGUUUUUAGGGAGAUUGAACUACAUUGCAAGGUUCAUAUCUCACCUAACUGCCACGUGUGAACCAAUUUUCAAAUUGCUCAGAAAGAAUCAGGCAAUCAAGUGGAAUGAUGAUUGUCAGAAAGCUUUUGACAAGAUAAAAGAGUAUUUACAGAAACCUCCAAUCCUUAUACCUCCAGUUCCAGGGAGACCUCUGAUAAUGUACCUGUCAGUGACUGAGAACUCGAUGGGGUGUGUAUUGGGACAGCAUGACGAGUCUGGUCGAAAAGAGCAUGCCAUAUACUACCUUAGCAAAAAGUUUACCGACUGUGAAACAAGAUAUUCACUGCUCGAGAAAACUUGCUGUGCUUUGGCCUGGGCUGCUCGCCGACUGAGGCAGUAUAUGUUGAACCAUACUACCUUAUUGAUUUCUAAGAUGGAUCCAGUGAAGUACAUCUUUGAGAAACCGGCUCUCACCGGACGCGUUGCUCGUUGGCAGAUGAUUCUAACAGAAUAUGAUAUUCAGUACACGUCACAAAAGGCCAUCAAAGGUAGUAUUCUGUCAGACUACCUCGCCGAGCAACCGAUUGAAGAUUAUCAGCCUAUGAUGUUUGAAUUCCCUGAUGAAGACAUCAUGUAUCUUAAGAUGAAAGAUUGCGAAGAGCCUCUUGUCGAGGAAGGACCGGAUCCGGAUGACAAAUGGACACUGAUGUUUGAUGGGGCUGUGAAUAUGAACGGUAACGGUGUUGGGGCAGUAUUGAUCAAUCCUAAAGGUGCUCAUAUACCUUUUUCUGCCAGAUUGACGUUUGACGUCACCAACAACGAAGCUGAGUAUGAGGCUUGUAUCAUGGGGAUAGAAGAAGCCAUUGAUCUGAGGAUCAAAACUCUUGACAUAUUUGGAGAUUCCGCUCUAGUGGUCAAUCAAGUCAAUGGAGAUUGGAAUACGAAUCAGCCGCAUUUGAUUCCGUAUAGAGAUUACACCAGAAGAAUACUGACGUUCUUCAAGAAGGUGAAGUUGUAUCAUGUCCCCCGGGAUGAGAAUCAGAUGGCUGAUGCCUUGGCUACUUUAUCUUCCAUGAUAAAGGUUCAUUGGUGGAAUCAUGUGCCACAUGUUGCUGUGAAUCGACUCGAGAGGCCUGCGUAUGUGUUUGCAGCCGAGUCUGUUGCGAUCGACGAGAAGCCGUGGUAUUAUGAUAUCAAGAAUUUCCUCAAGACUCAAGAGUAUCCUGAAGGUGCGUCAAAGAAUGAUAAGAAGACCCUGAGAAGGCUAGCUGGAAGCUUUUAUUUGAAUCAAGAUGAUGUGCUGUACCAAAGGAACUUUGACAUGGUCUUGCUCAGAUGCGUUGAUAGACACGAAGCAGACAUGUUAAUGCAAGAAGUGCACGAGGGUUCGUUUGGUACCCAUGCUGGUGGUCAUGCAAUGUCAAAGAAACUGUUGAGAGCCGGUUAUUAUUGGAUGACUAUGGAAUCCGAUUGUUUCAAGUACGCUCGGAAGUGCCAUAAGUGUCAAAUCUAUGCUGAUAAGGUGCAUGUACCACCAAGCCCGUUGAAUGUCAUGAACUCGCCUUGGCCGUACUAUGGAAUCCGAUUGUUUCAAGUACGCUCGGAAGUGCCAUAAGUGUCAAAUCUAUGCUGAUAAGGUGCAUGUACCACCAAGCCCGUUGAAUGUCAUGAACUCGCCUUGGCCGUUUGCCAUGUGGGGUAUUGACAUGAUUGGGAAGAUUGAGCCUACUGCUUCGAAUGGACAUCGCUUCAUCCUGGUUGCGAUUGAUUACUUCACCAAAUGGGUGGAAGCAGCUUCCUAUGCUAACGUCACCAAACAAGUGGUUGCCCGGUUCAUCAAGAAAGAAAUCAUCUGUCGUUAUGGAGUCCCUGAGAGAAUCAUCACUGGCAAUGGUUCGAAUCUCAACAACAAGAUGAUAAAAGAACUGUGCAGAGAUUUCAAGAUCAAACAUCACAAUUCUUCUCCUUACAGACCAAAGAUGAACGGUGCUGUAGAGGCAGCUAACAAGAAUAUCAAGAAGAUUGUGCAGAAAAUGGUCGUUACGUACAAGGACUGGCAUGAGAUGUUGCCUUUCGCUUUGCAUGGGUACCGUACUUCAGUGCGUACGUCGACCAGGGCAACCCCUUACUCCCUUGUGUAUGGUAUGGAAGCAGUCCUACCGGUUGAAGUGGAGAUCCCUUCUCUGAGGGUAUUAUUGGAUGUUAAGCUGGACGAAGCCGAGUGGAUUCGUACAAGGUUUAAUGAGUUAAGCCUUAUCGAAGAAAGACGGUUAGCAGCUGUGUGCCAUGAUGGAUGAUAUGAUUGCGAAGUCGCAGACAGAAGAGGAGCACCUGGUUAAUCUACAGAAGUUGUUUGACAGAUUGGUCAAGUUCAAACUGAGGCUGAAUCCGAACAAGUGUACGUUUGGGGUGAGAUCAGGGAAGCUGCUAGGCUUCAUUGUCAGUGAGAAAGGGAUUGAGGUUGAUCCAGCAAAAGUUAAAGCUAUUCAAGAGAUGCCUGAACCGAAGACGGAAAAGCAAGUCCGUGGGUUUUUAGGGAGGUUGAACUACAUUGCAAGGUUCAUAUCUCACCUAACGGCCACAUGUGAACCAAUUUUCAAAUUGCUGAGAAAGAAUCAGGCGAUCAAGUGGAAUGAUGAUUGUCAGAAAGCUUUUG
rnacentral:lncRNA from 1 species